UACGUAGGGGGCAAGCGUUGUCCGGAAUCAUUGGGCGUAAAGCGCGUGUAGGCGGCCAGAAAAGUCCGCUGUGAAAACUCGAGGCUCAACUUCGAGCUGUCGGUGGAAACUUUCUGGCUAGAGUCCGGAAGAGGAGAAUGGAAUUCCUGGUGUAGCGGUGAAAUGCGCAGAUAUCAAGAGGAACACCUGCGGCGAAGGCGGGUUGCUGGGCCGACACUGACGCUGAUGCGCGAAAGCUAGGGGAGCGAACGGG
rnacentral:rRNA from 1 species